ACAGCAGCAGCCACGGGAACACGGAGGGUGCAAGCGUUAAUCGGAAUUACUGGGCGUAAAGCGCACGCAGUCGGUCUGACAAGUCAGAUGUGAAAUCCCCGGGCUUAACCUGGGAACUGCAUUUGAAACUGUCAGGCUGGAGUCUUGUAGAGGGUGGUGGAAUUCCAGGUGUAGCGGUGAAAUGCGUAGAGAUCUGGAGGAAUACCGGUGGCGAAGGCGGCCCCCUGGACAAAGACUGACGCUCAGGUGCGAAAGCGUGGGGAGCAAACAGGAUUAGAUACCCCUGUAGUCCCUGUCUCUUAUAC
rnacentral:rRNA from 1 species